rnacentral:misc_RNA from 1 species
GUGAUCCGUCAUAGUGGUUUUAUUAACACUGCUCAACAGACGCUAGGUAGUACUCGUUCUGCGUGCGGGCCAGUGCAAUCGAGCGCGCGGCGCACGGCGGUGUGCGCCUGCGCAACUCCUCACUUUUAUCGCGUAAUAGAUAACUGCUCACUUGCAUUGUUAUUAUGUUUUUACAUUCGUUAAAUAAACGCGAUAAGAUUAAAAGUUCCUGGUCGUGUUUAUAACAGAUAAAUAUAUUACGUUUGAUUUUAAAAAAUGAUAACAUUUUUUUUCUAUAAAUAACGGCGUGGUGAGACUUAAAAACAUUGUGUUUUGUUUUUAUUGUGCUUAUGACGCGGGCGUCAAUAAUUAUCAUAGUGGUAUUGUAUAUAUUCAACACCUCAAAAUAAUUGACGUAUGUAUUAAAUUGUGUCGAAACCUUUUAUAGCGUGCAGUGUGAGAGCGCUGACGAGUGACAUCACAUGCGAGACGGCCGCCGGGGUUCAGUAAUUACAUAUAUGACUCAGCUCCCUAAAUCAUUUCUAUAAGAUUUGGAAGGCGCUCAGAUAUUGUGGUGUCUACGUUUUGGUUUUGAGUGCCCUCUAAAAUAAAAAGUGAUGGCGGCGGUAUGGUUGGUGGUAUUGGCGGUAGUGGCGGCGCUGUACGCGUUGGGCUCGCAGCGGCAUGGCUACUGGCGCGUGCGUCGGGUGUUGCAUGACACGCCACUGCCCUUCCUCGGCAACAACGCGCCCGUUUACCUGUUCCGGCGCACCGUCACACAGCUCGCUGACGACCUUUAUCACAAGUACUCCUCCGCAAAAGUUAUCGGCUUCUACCGUGCUUCGCGUCCUGAGCUCAUCAUUAAAGAUCCGGCUAUUAUAAAACGCGUUCUGACCACAGAUUUUGCUUGUUUUCACCCCCGCGGCUUGAACCCUAACAAGCAGGUGAUAGAGCCGCUGUUGCGGAAUUUGUUCUUUGCGGACGGAGACUUGUGGCGUUUGCUGCGGCAGCGCAUGACGCCGGCGUUUACAAGCGGCAAGUUGCGCGCUAUGUUCCCGUUGGUGGUGGCGCGCGCCGAGCGGCUGCAGACGCGGCUGGCGCACUCCGUCGGCCACCCUCAGGACGCGCGCGACCUCAUGGCGCGCUACACCAUCGAUUUUAUCGGUGCCUGCGGCUUCGGGCUUGAUGUCGAUGCACUAAAUGACGACGAUUCCGCCUUUAGAAAAUUAGGUGAUAAUAUUUUCAAAAUAGGACCCAGAGAAGCUGUACUAAUAGUGUUAAAGGAAGUGUUUCCGGAGACUUUCAAAAAUUUCAAGUAUUUACCUAAACUAGAGGCCGAAAUAAGAGAAAUGCUUCAUACUAUACUGAAGCAGAGGAACUAUGAACCUGUGGGCCGACACGAUUUUAUAGAUUUGUUACUGGAGUGCAAGAAGAAGGGCAUCAUGACUGGGGAGUCGAUGGAAAGAGUAAGAUCAGACGGCACAGCCGAUGUAGUCGCCGUGGAGUUCGACGAGGACUUGAUGGUGGCACAGGUCUUCGCUUUCUUUGUGGGCGGAUUUGACACGUCGUCGACAGUGACCAGCUACGCGCUGCACCAGCUUGCAUACCACCCGGACGAGCAAGCACGGGUUCAGCAAGAGAUAGACCAAGCUCUCGCCAAACACAAUAAUCAAUUGUGCUACGACGCUCUUAAAGACAUGACUUACCUAGAGUGUGCGUUAAAGGAAGCAAUGCCUAUGUUCCCGCCGCUGGGUUUCUUGAUGCGGCAGAGCGCGCACCCGUAUACAUUUCCUGAGCUGGGGCUGAGCAUCGACGCCGGGGUGAGCGUGCUGAUCCCGGUGCACUCGUUGCACCACGACCCCCGUCACUUUCCGGAGCCGUUGGAGUUCCGGCCAGAGCGGUUCCUCAACCCGGAACAUGACAAGUUUGUGUAUCUGCCAUUUGGCGAAGGUCCUCGGGCAUGUGUUGGCUUGCGACUGGGACUGAUGCAGUCGCUGGCAGGGCUGGCGGCGGUGCUGGCGCGGUUCUCGGUGCAGCCGGCGCCGGCCUCCGUGCGCCGCCCGGUGGCCAGCACCGGCGCCGGCCUCACGCAGGCCGUCAAGGGUGGACUGCCGCUGAUAUUCCGCGAGAGACAGCGCUGAGCGUCACUCGCCGCCGCCGCCCGCGCCGCGACCUUCACACGAGACCGGUCGGGAGCGCGGAGUGUAAGUGGCGACUGGCGGCGGUGAGCGGGGAGCGUUGUUGGCACUCCAGUACGCGUCCCGAGCGCGAAGUGUGCUGAUGCCAGUGCGCGCGGAACUAAUGAGGACAUCAUCAAUCAAGAAAACGAUUCGAAAAACCGAUAGUAAUCAGCUCCAGUGCAUUCGAGUAGACACAUAUUAUGUUUUUAUAUUAUUUUCAUAUAAUUGGGAUUCCAUUAUAUUCAUUUAUAUGUCGUUUUACUGUCUGUUUAUGAUACCAAGUGUGAAAAUUAUAAAACGUUAGGAGGAAAAUAUAUUUUAUUUAAGAGUAAUCAGUAUUAAACAUACGAA